UACGUAGGGUGCAAGCGUUAAUCGGAAUUACUGGGCGUAAAGCGUGCGCAGGCGGCUAUGCAAGACAGAUGUGAAAUCCCCGGGCUCAACCUGGGAACUGCAUUUGUGACUGCAUAGCUGGAGUGCGGCAGAGGGGGAUGGAAUUCCGCGUGUAGCAGUGAAAUGCGUAGAUAUGCGGAGGAACACCGAUGGCGAAGGCAAUCCCCUGGGCCUGCACUGACGCUCAUGCACGAAAGCGUGGGGAGCAAACAGG
rnacentral:rRNA from 1 species